GACGAACGCUGGCGGCGUGCUUAACACAUGCAAGUCGAGCGGAGCGGCGAACGGGUGAGUAACGCGUGAGUAACUGCCCCCCUCCCUGGGAUAACAGAUGGAAACGGCUGCUAAUACCGGAUAGUGGGGGAUGACGCGCGUCCUAUCAGCUUGUUGGGUGGGUAGUGGCCUACCAAGGCGACGACGGGUAGCCGGCCUGAGAGGGUGAACGGCCACAGUGGGCUGAGAUACGGCACCAGUUGCUACGUGAGGAAGCAGGGGGGAAUAGUGCACAAUUGGGGAAACCCUGAUGCAGCAACGCCGCGUGCGGGAUGACGGUCUUCGGGUUGUAAACCGCGUUCAGCCAUGACGCGGUAGUGGCAGAAGAAGCACCGGCUAACUACGUGCCAGCCGCCGCGGUAAUAC
rnacentral:rRNA from 1 species